CCUACGGGAGGCUGCAGUGGGGAAUAUUGGACAAUGGGCGAAAGCCUGAUCCAGCUAUGCCGCGUGUGUGAAGAAGGCCUUCGGGUUGUAAAGCACUUUCAGUGGGGAAGAAAGCCUUGGGGCUAAUACCCUCGAGGAAGGACAUCACCCACAGAAGAAGCACCGGCUAACUCCGUGCCAGCAGCCGCGGUAAUACGGAGGGUGCGAGCGUUAAUCGGAAUUACUGGGCGUAAAGCGCGCGUAGGCGGUCUGAUAAGCCGGUUGUGAAAGCCCCGGGCUCAACCUGGGAACGGCAUCCGGAACUGUCAGGCUAGAGUGCAGGAGAGGAAGGUAGAAUUCCCGGUGUAGCGGUGAAAUGCGUAGAGAUCGGGAGGAAUACCAGUGGCGAAGGCGGCCUUCUGGACUGACACUGACGCUGAGGUGCGAAAGCGUGGGUAGCAAACAGGAUUAGAUACCCGGGUAGUC
rnacentral:rRNA from 1 species